rnacentral:lncRNA from 1 species
CGAUUCACGUGCCUCAGCCUCCCAAGUACCUGGGAUUACAGACGCGCAACCACGCCCAGCUAAUUUUUGUAUUUUUAGUAGAGACAGGGUUUCACCAUGUUGGUCAGGCUGGUCUCGCAUUCGUGACCUCAGAUGAUUCGCCCGCCUCGGCCUCCCAAAUUGUUGGGAUUACAGGCAUGAGCCACCGUGCCUGGCCUCUUCUUUAUUUUUUAAACGUAACAUGUAAUGCCCAGAGGUUUUUUUUUGGGGGGGGAAGGGGGUACAGGGUCUCACUGUCACCCAGACUGGAGUG